GGCCAUGUUUUUCCACAGCUUUCUUGAACUUCUUCCCAUUCUCACCAACAAAUUACAAUAAUCUCAAAUUGUAAUUUUUGUAACAUACUUCGAAUAAGCUCAAGAUAGCUGUGGGAAAUCAUGUCA